UACAGAGGUCUCAAGCGUUGUUCGGAUUCAUUGGGCGUAAAGGGUGCGCAGGUGGUCGGGUAAGUCUGACGUGAAAUCCCGCAGCUUAACUCCGAAACUGCAUUCGAUACUGGCGUGCUUGAGGACUGGAGAGGAGACUGGAAUUCAUGGUGUAGCAGUGAAAUGCGUAGAGAUCAUGAGGAAGACCAGUGGCGAAGGCGGGUCUCUGGACAGUUCCUGACACUGAGACACGAAGGCCAGGGGAGCAAACGGG
rnacentral:rRNA from 1 species